UUUUUCUUAUAUUUCCGUCAGUAAAGUCUUAUCAAAUACAGCAAUCAACACAAUUCGAUUGCACAACGUCAGUUUAAACUAAACAUUUGUACGAGACGUUACUUGUGUAUUUAAAUUUCUGUUUAUUGAGGAAAUAUAGAGAGGCAAUUAUUGACAUAAAAGAGGAAAACAACUGGUUUUAGUUAGUCACAAUUUGAAAAAGUUUCAAUUUCUUCUAAACAUGAAGUGUUUCUUCCUCUUUCUACUUACUUUCGUUGUUUGUUCAGAAUAUGUCAGAGGAUUAAAAUUUGUGAAUCCCGUAGUCUACGAAGUACAAGAUAGAUUUGGAUUAUCUUGGGAUCAAUUUAAAGGAAAAUGUGAUUCUAAAGGAGGAAAUUUAUUUCCUGCCGUAUCUAAUUUACGUGAUAAAUAUGAUAUGACAUCUUCUCAAGUGAAAACUGAAAUUUUAAAUAAAGCAAGACAAACUUCUAGUGGAAUGACAGAAGCAAAAUGGGAUCAUCUUAUAAACACAAAAUGUCUCGUUAAUUCUGAUUUGAUUUCAACUUCUCAACAGGCUAUUGAAAAAAUUAUUCUUUGUUUGGAUAAUAAUGGUGGAUUAAAUGAACAACAAAAAGAACAAGCUAAAAAAGAUCUCUUAAAAAAAUUCUGUUCCUUAAUAAGAAUGUGGGCCAAAUUUGAGUACGAAAAUUAUAAUUGAAAUUAAACACAAAACUGUAUUAAAUUCAAUAGCGAAAAAUUUACGUUAUAAAUAAUUCGAAGGAAUGAAAAAUUUCUUAAAACACACAUUAACCCUAACGAAUUACAUGAUGAGAAUGUUCAAUCAAAUUCGUGGAAUAUGUGGUUCGAAUGAAAAUUUUGUUAUAAAAAAUUAACAAAUAAUUCCUCCUUGCCAUGGAAAAUAUUCUUGAAGGCUUCUCGAUAACGAGAACUCAUUAAAUUAUAAAUUAUUGGAUUUACUACAGUACUGGCGUAGAAAAAUAAAUUUGAAAGAAACAUGACCCAG